UAAAUAAAAAAGUUUAUUUUAUUUAGAUAGACGAUAAGACCCUAAAACCUUUAUUGAGCAGUUAAUUCCCUUUUUGGUGGGGAGGCAAAAUACCUUCUCAUACUUUAUGAAAACAAAAUGAGUGAUUUUAAAUACCUUAAGGAUAAAUCCAAAGAGGUACUUUAGGGAUAACCGCAUAUUUUUUAUAUAGAGUUUACUUAUCGACAUAGAAGAUUAUGACCUCGAUGUUGAAUUGAUAUUACUUUACUAAGCACCCCUAGGAAUUUGUAGGUCUGUUCGACCUUUUAUCUAUCACAUGAUC
rnacentral:rRNA from 1 species